rnacentral:rRNA from 1 species
UACAGAGGUCCCAAGCGUUGUUCGGAUUCAUUGGGCGCAAAGGGUGCGUAGGCGGCGCGGUAAGUCGGGUGUGAAAUCUCGGAGCUUAACUCCGAAACUGCAUUCGAUACUGCCGUGCUUGAGGACUGGAGAGGAGACUGGAAUUUACGGUGUAGCGGUGAAAUGCGUAGAUAUCGUAAGGAAGACCAGUGGCGAAGGCGGGUCUCUGGACAGUUCCUGACGCUGAGGCACGAAGGCCAGGGGAGCAAACGGG